rnacentral:rRNA from 1 species
AAUAACACGGUUCGUAGUGACCUGCGGAAGGAUCAUUAUCGUAGGGCUUCGGCCCUGUCGAGAUAGAACCCUUGCCUUUUUAAGUACCUUUCGUUUCCUCGGCAGGCUCGCCUGCCGAUGGACCCCCCAAAAAACACUUUGCAGUACCUGUAAUAGUCUGAACAACAAACAAAAAAUUAAAACUUUCAACAACGGAUCUCUUGGUUCUGGCAUCGAUGAAGAACGCAGCGAAAUGCGAUAAGUAGUGUGAAUUGCAGAAUUCAGUGAAUCAUCGAAUCUUUGAACGCACAUUGCGCCCUUUGGUAUUCCUUAGGGCAUGCCUGUUCGAGCGUCAUUUAAACCUUCAAGCUCAGCUUGGUGUUGGGUGACUGUCCGCUGCCCUCGGGUGCGGACUCGCCUCAAAAUCAUUGGCGGCCGGUACAUUGGCUUCGAGCGCAGCAGAAACGCGAACUCGGAGUUGUUGUAUUAGCUCCCAGAAGCUAUCUUCAUAAUUUUGACCUCGGAUCAGGUAGGGAUACCCGCUGAACUUAAGCAUAUCAAA